rnacentral:pre_miRNA from 1 species
GAGGUACUCCCUCCAUUCCGAAUUACUUGUCUUGGAUUUGUCUAGAUACAUAUGUAUCUAGACUCAUUUUAGUGCUAGAUACAUCCGUAUCUAGACAAAUCUAAGACAAGUAAUUCGGAACGGAGGGAGUAUCAU